rnacentral:rRNA from 1 species
GAUGAACGCUGGCGGCGUGCCUAAUACAUGCAAGUCGAGCGAACCACUUCGGUGGUGAGCGGCGAACGGGUGAGUAACGCGUAGGUGAUCUGCCCAUCAGACGGGGACAACGAUUGGAAACGAUCGCUAAUACCGGAUAGGACGAAAGUUUAAAGGUGCUUCUGGCACCGCUGAUGGAUGAGCCUGCGGCGCAUUAGCUAGUCGGUAGGGUAAAGGCCUACCAAGGCGACGAUGCGUAGCCGACCUGAGAGGGUGAACGGCCACACUGGGACUGAGACACGGCCCAGACUCCUACGGGAGGCAGCAGUAGGGAAUCUUCGGCAAUGGGCGAAAGCCUGACCGAGCAACGCCGCGUGAAUGAUGAAGGCCUUCGGGUUGUAAAAUUCUGUUAUAAGGGAAGAACGACUUUAGUAGGAAAUGGCUAGAGUGUGACGGUACCUUAUGAGAAAGCCACGGCUAACUACGUGCCAGCAGCCGCAGUAA